rnacentral:rRNA from 1 species
CGCGACCCCAGGUGCAGG